rnacentral:rRNA from 1 species
CCUACGGGGCGCAGCAGUGGGGAAUAUUGGACAAUGGGCGAAAGCCUGAUCCAGCCAUGCCGCGUGUGUGAAGAAGGCCUUCGGGUUGUAAAGCACUUUCAGUGGGGAAGAAAGCCUUGGGGCUAAUACCCUCGAGGAAGGACAUCACCCACAGAAGAAGCACCGGCUAACUCCGUGCCAGCAGCCGCGGUAAUACGGAGGUUGCGAGCGUUAAUCGGAAUUACUGGGCGUAAAGCGCGCGUAGGCGGUCUGAUAAGCCGGUUGUGAAAGCCCCGGGCUCAACCUGGGAACGGCAUCCGGAACUGUCAGGCUAGAGUGCAGGAGAGGAAGGUAGAAUUCCCGGUGUAGCGGUGAAAUGCGUAGAGAUCGGGAGGAAUACCAGUGGCGAAGGCGGCCUUCUGGACUGACACUGACGCUGAGGUGCGAAAGCGUGGGUAGCAAACAGGAUUAGAUACCCUAGUAGUC